UAGAGUUCUCACAUUUCUCACAUAGAGCCCACCCUUCUGACAUCGAUGCACUGAUGAUGAGUUUUCCAGCACGUGAAGUCUAUGUGAUACAUUCAAACGAUGCUUGAUGCCGGACGCUGUUCCGGAAGACGCCUCAGUGUCACGUGCUACAAACAUCCCACUCCGUGCAUUUCUCUGCCUGUAGGAGCGCUUGACAGCAAAGCCAAAACGGGAAACAGUUGGUUCUUCAUGAUGUUUUUCCAAUAAAGAAUUGGAGUUGAAUCAUCA